rnacentral:rRNA from 1 species
AUUGAACGCUGGCGGCAUGCCAUACACAUGCAAGUCGAACGGCAGCACGGGAGCAAUCCUGGUGGCGAGUGGCGAACGGGUGAGUAAUAUAUCGGAACGUGCCCAGUCGUGGGGGAUAACGCAGCGAAAGCUGUGCUAAUACCGCAUACGAUCUACGGAUGAAAGCGGGGGAUCGCAAGACCUCGCGCGAUUGGAGCGGCCGAUAUCAGAUUAGCUAGUUGGUGAGGUAAAGGCUCACCAAGGCGACGAUCUGUAGCUGGUCUGAGAGGACGACCAGCCACACUGGAACUGAGACACGGUCCAGACUCCUACGGGAGGCAGCAGUGGGGAAUUUUGGACAAUGGGCGAAAGCAUGAUCCAGCAAUGCCGCGUGCAGGAUGAAGGCCUUCGGGUUGUAAACUGCUUUUGUACGGAACGAAACGGUGAGCUCUAAUACAGUUUGCUAAUGACGGUACCGUAAGAACAAGCACCGGCUAACUACGUGCCAGCAGCCGCAGUAA